rnacentral:sRNA from 1 species
AACACGUCUGCUCCAUCGGCCAUCGGUUC